CACGGGGGUUGCGAGCGUUAUCCGGAUUUACUGGGUGUAAAGGGCGUGCAGGCGGGCUGACAAGUCGGAUGUGAAAUUUCCGGGCUUAACCCGGAAGGGUCAUCCGAAACUGUCGGUCUUGAGUACUGGAGAGGAUAGUGGAAUUCCUAGUGUAGCGGUAAAAUGCGUAGAUAUUAGGAGGAACACCAGUGGCGAAGGCGGCUAUCUGGACAGUAACUGACGCUGAGGCGCGAAAGCGUGGGGAGCAAACAGG
rnacentral:rRNA from 1 species